UACAGAGGGCGCGAGCGUUGUCCGGAAUCACUGGGCGUAAAGGGCGCGUAGGUGGCCACUAUAAGGCCGCGGUGAAAGUUCGGGGCUCAACCCUGAAUCGGCCGCGGCGACUGUAGGGCUUGGGCACUGUAGAGGCAGAUGGAAUUCCGGGUGUAGCGGUGGAAUGCGUAGACAUUCGGAAGAACACCAGUGGCGAAGGCGACUCGCUGGACAAGUAUUGACGCUGAGGUGCGAAAGCGUGGGGAGCAAACAGG
rnacentral:rRNA from 1 species